AGCUUUGCGCAGUGGCAGUAUCGUAGCCAAUGAGGUUUAUCCGAGGCGCGAUUAUUGCUAAUUGAAAACAAAGAUAAACCUCCUUCUUUUGAAAUAGUUGCAUGGGAUUCUAUUGUAUAGAUGUUCAAAACA
rnacentral:snRNA from 1 species